CUCUUCCUUUGGAUAAGAAACCGAUAGGGUGUUAAUGGCCGUUCACUGUUAAACAUAAGGCAAAUAAUUGUAUUGAGAAGGCUUGAAACGAAGGGGGUUUACUCAGACUUAUGGAAUAGAUUACCGAGAAACUUUUGCACUUGUUGCAAAGAUGAACUCCAAUUUUCUUAUCCUGUGCUACUAAUCUUGGUUGAGAUUUGCAGAAGUUUUAUGUGAAAAACGCCGUCCUACAUGAUUUAAAAGAAGAAGUCUAUAUGGAAAUGCCACAAGGGUUUGUGUUACAUAUAAGAGUCUAGAAGUAGUUAAGAAGGGAGUCAUAUUCUGUUUAGAUGUCUGGAAGUAGUUUCAGAUCUGUUAAUGAAGAAGGAGAGUGGCAGGAAUAGUUGAUUCUAGCUAGUCUUAGGAAGAAACUGGCCUAUAUAAGAGCUAGAAUAGCUCUAGGGUUGUUAUUCUGAAAUUCUAAUCAAUAAAGAUAUAUUUUCUCUCUCUAAAUUCUUCUCUUCUUUUUCUCUCUUCCAUCCCUUCACCCCUUUCUUUCUUUAUUUCCUCCAUAAUCUCUAUUCUUUCUGUGAUGG
rnacentral:misc_RNA from 1 species